GUUUCCGUGGCGUAGCGGUUAUCACGUCUGCUUUACACGCAGAAGGUGCCCGGUUCGAUGCCGGGCGGGAACA
rnacentral:tRNA from 1 species